rnacentral:rRNA from 1 species
GCGCCAGACUCCUACGGGAGGCAGCAGUGGGGAAUAUUGCACAAUGGGGGAAACCCUGAUGCAGCGACGCCGCGUGAAGGAAGAAGUAUUUCGGUAUGUAAACUUCUAUCAGCAGGGAAGAAAAUGACGGUACCUGACUAAGAAGCCCCGGCUAACUACGUGCCAGCAGCCGCGGUAAUACGUAGGGGGCAAGCGUUAUCCGGAUUUACUGGGUGUAAAGGGAGCGUAGGCGGUGCAGCAAGUCAGAAGUGAAAGCCCGGGGCUCAACUCCGGGACUGCUUUUGAAACUGUUGAACUAGAUUGCAGGAGAGGUCAUCGGAAUUCCUUGUGUAGCGGUGAAAUGCGUAGAUAUAAGGAAGAACACCAGUGGCGAAGGCGGAUGACUGGACGGCAACUGACGGUGAGGCGCGAAAGCGUGGGGAGCAAACAGGAUUAGAUACCCUGGUAU